rnacentral:lncRNA from 1 species
AUGCCUGGCUCUGACUUCUCCCGUUCUCCGGUGUGGUGCUGGGUUCGGGUCCCGGUCGUGGGGGACUGCCCGCCCGCCCUCGGUGAGGUGUGCUCCGCGUGGAGGCUGCGUCUCCCCGGUCUUCUGUGCUCUCCUGGCCUUCUGGGGGAGGAAAGCGAUCCCGCCCGCCGCGUCGCUCUGUGUCUGGUGGCGUGGGGGGGGGAAGCCUCGUACGGCCUGCGGGCCGCGACGAGCUCGGCCGUGGGGUCGAGGGCAGUAAGUAGUCCGGUCAUCGGGGGAGGGGGGAGGAUAGAGCGGAGUGCUCUUUUCCCCCUCUGUGUGCGUGCGUGGAGUGACUGCGGUUUGUGCUGUCGUCGCCCGGAAUUCGUGUCGGGGGGGGUGCGGUGGCUCGGUGGGGUCGGUGCCAGGGUCCGAUCCCCUCCCGCCCCCUGGGAAGGUUGGGGUCCCACUCCCCGGUCUUCUUGGCGCUCGCCCUGGGCCUCGCCGAACCCCCGUGCGUUUCCGGUGCGUGCGCCGUCCGUCCUUGGUCGCGGCCGCCUCGCUCCUCGCUGCACGUGGAAGUGCGAGGCGAGGACUCUCUGUUUCGAAAACCUCCCCCUGAUCCCCGGUGGGCCGUUCGCGCUGCUUGCUCUCUCUGCCCUCGCUGUCUCGCCGCGUCCCGCAUUCCGACGGGCUUCCCUGCGCCGUCGCUGGAGAGGAUGCCCUCCCGGGGGCUCCCUCUCGUCGGCCGUCCCCGCGCCGAGGGCCGGUGCCGCGACGAGGCUGGGUCGUCGCUCCUCCCCCUCUGGUCGGGUUGCCGGUGGCCGGGUUGCCCGCGUGCCCCCCUCCGCGGGGUCGCCGCCGUUGGGUUUGUCGGUGGCUGCCGUCCCCCGCGUCGGCCCGUCCCGCUUGCCGCCUCGGGGACCCCCGGGCGCCUGUGGAGUUUGGCCGCGAGGCCGGCCGUGGCUUUGCGGGAGCGGGUUCCCGCGCUGCCUCCCCGGGGACGCCCGGGGAAACGGUCGUUCCUCACGAGCCCCCCCACUGCCAAAUCGUGUCGUGUCUCGUUUUUUACCUUCCGUUUACGCGUUGUGGGGGUUGCUGUGGGGUGUUGGGGGGGGGGCCACGCGCCCUCCCCCCCCCUCCCUCCCUCCCGCGUAUCCCAAAAAAAACCAAAAUUCCGGACAACUCUUAGCGGUGGAUCACUCGGCUCGUGCGUCGAUGAAGAACGCAGCUAGCUGCGAGAAUUAA